rnacentral:rRNA from 1 species
GUUGAACGCUGGCGGCGUGCCUAACACAUGCAAGUCGAGCGGAUGAACGGAGCUUUCUCCUCGAUGCCGCUGCGGACGGGCGAGUGAUUCAUAGGAAUCUACCUUGUCGUUGGGAAUAGCGUCCGGACACGGGCGCUAAUCCCGCAUCCGACCAGAUGGAGAACGUGGGGGAUCUUCGGUCCUAGCGCUAUCAGCUGCGCCUAGGUCGUAUUAGCUAGUUGGUGUGGUAAAGGCUUACCAAGGCGACGAUCCGUAACUGGUCUGAGAGGCUGAUCAGUCACACUGGAACUGAGACACGGUCCAGACUCCUACGGGAGGCAGCAGUAGGGAAUAUUGGACAAUGGGCGAAAGCCUGAUCCAGCAACGCCGCGUGAGUGAAGAAGGUCUUCGGAUUGUAAAGCACUGUAAGUUGGGAGGAACGGCAGUAAGUUAAUCCAUGGAUGUUUUGACGGUACCAACAGAAUAAGCCCCGGCUAACUUCGUG